UGAAGCUUUGAUGAUCGCCAAUUCGUUUUGAAGCUCUUCCUUGCAUGACUCAAGAUCCCUUUCUAACUCCACAUCCCUUCGUAUUUCAGAUUCUGUGAUCACUUUACUGGCUGCCGACAUUUCUGAAGGUUCACUUGCUUGCAAUUCUGAUAGAACUGGUAAGAAGUUACUUGCCUGCACCUGGAAGUGCUCCAGCUCAGUACUUCUUUGUCUAACUGUGUCCACAGGAGCUGAAUCUCCCAGGUGUUUUCAGUCUGGACAGUGCCAAUAGAACAUUACCAAAGGCCACAGAAUGCAGGAAACACCUAGGGUCCUUGGAAUACCAAGUGCUCCAAAUGUCUGUGGUACACCUGGAAUGCCCAGUGUCCAUGGAAUACUGGGAAUGCCCAGUGUGUCUGUGGAAUACCAAGAACUCCCAGCAUAUGUGGAAUACUGGGAGCACCCAGUGUCCGUGGUAUAUUGGGAAUGCCCAGUGUACUCACGAUACUGAAAACUCGCAAUGUCUGUGCAAUGCCGAGAGCAUCCGACGUCUAUAAAAUGCAAGGAACGCCGA